AGGGCAAUAGCUGAAUAGGUACAGCAUUUCGCUCAUAACGAUUCCUGUGUGGGUUCGAGUCCCGCUUGCCUUA
rnacentral:tRNA from 1 species